UACGUAGGUGGCUAGCGUUGUCCGGAUUUACUGGGCGUAAAGAGCGCGCAGGCGGUCGUUCAAGUCGAGUGUGAAAGCCCCCGGCUCAACUGGGGAGGGUCACUCGAUACUGAUCGACUCGAAGGCAGGAGAGGGAAGCGGAAUUCCCGGUGUAGUGGUGAAAUGCGUAGAUAUCGGGAGGAACACCAGUGGCGAAGGCGGCUUUCUGGCCUGUUCUUGACGCUGAGGCGCGAAAGCUAGGGGAGCAAACGGG
rnacentral:rRNA from 1 species